GGCGCAAGUGAAAUACCACUAC
rnacentral:snRNA from 1 species